GGAAACCAAAUAUUUUAUUUUGGGAUCAGGCCACGUGUGCCGUGACAAGCAGAAGCCCAGAACCCAUUCGGGGGAGGAGGUGUCCUUAGAAGAAGGGAGAAGGCAGACAGGAGCCUGUGAUGCUGAGGGGAUUGGAGGGACCUAGCUCCACGCCCACGUUCGCCUGGAUCCCCCAGCAGCCCAAAGAGGCAGGAAGGACCCUCCCUGGAGCCUCUGGAGGGAUGUGGCUGUGCCUUACCUGGAUCUCUGACUUCUGACUCCAAACCUACUUUAUUUAUUUGAGAGAGAGACAGC